rnacentral:rRNA from 1 species
CAAAAAAAAUAAAGUAAUUAAUUUAAUUCAAUAAAUAAUUAAAUAAAUGAAUGAAUAAAAAGCGGGGAG